CCGCUAGCGCUAGUGCCGG
rnacentral:misc_RNA from 1 species